ACUGUGACCCAAGAGGAGGUGGCCACUCAACGCUGAGGCCACACGGCUCCCUUCCUUAUGCAGGAAAGUCAAGCCAAUAGUCCCUGAAUGUUGCCAAGGAGACACACUGCACCACCAAGCCAAGCCAAGCAAGCCACAAUGCAACACAAGCCUUCUACAACACCUACAGCCAUCAGCAACACCCAGAGUACAAGACAACACCUGGAGUCAUGAAGAACAGUUAGGAUGGAUUAGCAGUUUGGAAUGUUUUUCUUUUAAGGACAUUUGAAGACAAGUUUGGCAUGUU
rnacentral:lncRNA from 1 species